GACGAACGCUGGCGGCGUGCUUAACACAUGCAAGUCGAACGGUAAGGCCCUUCGGGGUCCACGAGUGGCGAACGGGUGAGUAACGCGUGAGUAACCUGCCCUUCACUCUGGGAUAACAGUUGGAAACGGCUGCUAAUACCGGAUAUUCAGCUCCUGUCGCAUGGUGGGGGUUGGAAAGUUUUGGUGGUGGAGGAUGGGCUCGCGUCCUAUCAGCUUGUUGGUGGGGUGAUGGCCUACCAAGGCGUCGACGGGUAGCCGGCCUGAGAGGGCGACCGGCCACAUUGGGACUGAGAUACGGCCCAAACUCCUACGGGAGGCAGCAGUGGGGAAUAUUGCACAAUGGGCGGAAGCCUGAUGCAGCAACGCCGCGUGCGGGAUGACGGCCUUCGGGUUGUAAACCGCUUUCAGCAGGGACGAAGCGCAAGUGACGGUACCUGCAGAAGAAGCACCGGCUAACUACGUG
rnacentral:rRNA from 1 species